rnacentral:rRNA from 1 species
CCUACGGGAGGCAGCAGUGGGGAAUAUUGCACAAUGGGGGAAACCCUGAUGCAGCGACGCCGCGUGAGUGAAGAAGUAUUUCGGUAUGUAAAGCUCUGUCAGCAGGGAAGAAAAUGACGGUACCUGACCAAGACGCCCCGGAUAACUACGUGCCAGCAGCCGCGGUAAUACGUAGGGGGCAAGCGUUAUCCGGAUUUACUGGGGGUAAAGGGAGCGUAGUCGGCAGGGCAAGUCUGGAGUGAAAGGCGGGGGGUCAACCCCCGGACUGCUCUGGAAACUGCCAGGCUGGAGUGCAGGAGAGGUAAGUGGAAUGCGUGGGGUAGCGGUGAAAUACGUAGAUAUGAGGAGGAACACCAGUGGCGAAGGCGGCAUACUGGACUGUAACUGACGUUGAGGCUCGAAAGCGUGGGGAGCAAACAGGAUUAGAUACCCGUGUAGUC